rnacentral:rRNA from 1 species
UACGUAGGGGGCAAGCGUUGUCCGGAAUCAUUGGGCGUAAAGAGCGCGUAGGCGGCCCUGUAAGUCCGCUGUGAAAGUCAAGGGCUCAACCCUUGGAUGCCGGUGGAUACUGCAGGGCUAGAGUCCGGAAGAGGCGAGUGGAAUUCCUGGUGUAGCGGUGAAAUGCGCAGAUAUCAGGAGGAACACCGAUGGCGAAGGCGGUGAGCUGGGCAGUUGGCUGACACUGAGGCGCGACAGCGUGGGGAGCAAACAGGGA